rnacentral:rRNA from 1 species
AGGGAAUCUUCGGCAAUGGACGCAAGUCUGACCGAGCAACGCCGCGUGAGUGAAGAAGGUUUUCGGAUCGUAAAGCUCUGUUAUUGGGGAAGAAAACAUGACGGUACCCAAUGAGGAAGUCCCGGCUAACUACGUGCCAGCAGCCGCGGUAAUACGUAGGGGACAAGCGUUGUCCGGAAUGACUGGGCGUAACGGGCGCGUAGGCGGUCUAUUAAGUCUGAUGUGAAAGGUACCGGCUCAACCGGUGAAGUGCAUUGGAAACUGGUAGACUUGAGUAUUGGAGAGGCAAGUGGAAUUCCUAGUGUAGCGGUGAAAUGCGUAGAUAUUAGGAGGAACACCAGUGGCGAAGGCGGCUUGCUGGACAAAUACUGACGCUGAGGUGCGAAAGCGUGGGGAGCGAAC